GACGAACGCUGGCGGCGUGCUUAACACAUGCAAGUCGAACGGUAAGGCCCUUUCGGGGGUACACGAGUGGCGAACGGGUGAGUAACACGUGAGUAACCUGCCCUUGACUCUGGGAUAACAUCUGGAAACAGUUGCUAAUACCGGAUAUUCAGCUUCCCUGGCAUCGGGGUUGUUGGAAAGUUUUUCGGUCAAGGAUGGGCUCGCGGCCUAUCAGCUUGUUGGUGAGGUAGUGGCUCACCAAGGCUUCGACGGGUAGCCGGCCUGAGAGGGCGACCGGCCACAUUGGGACUGAGAUACGGCCCAAACUCAUACGGGAGGCAGCAGUGGGGAAUAUUGCACAAUGGGCGGAAGCCUGAUGCAGCAACGCCGCGUGCGGGAUGACGGCCUUCGGGUUGUAAACCGCUUUCAUCCAUGACGAAGCUUUUGUGACGGUAGUGGAAGAAGAAGCACCGGCUAACUACGUGCCAGCAGCCGCCGUAAAAC
rnacentral:rRNA from 1 species